AGUUGACUGGCCCCACUUGGACCAAGCACACUUGCUGUGACUUCUGUUAAAUGUAGCCAGCACUUGACAAACAUGCAAAACAAGGGUGCUUUCCAGGCAUGGCUACAUAGGUUUAUUAACAUUAGCUCAAAGGUUAUGUGAGAUUUAAAACAUUAAUAUAGCAGCAAACAAUUGUGGAAAGACUAUCCAAGACAGCUUUGGGAUUCUGCUGUUUGGCCAAUUCCAGGCUGCUAAGUUUUGGUGCAGUCCUAACACUGCAGAGACAUCACAGCCUGAAUGUACUUACGUCCUCCAGGCCACCACUUGAUGGAGCUGAUUGUGGGGCUGUUCAAGACAAACUCCUGAGUGGCUGGAUCAUAUGUGGCUGUGGUCUCCAGCCCUCUGAGGUGAGUGCCUAGAGAGAGACAACAGAUCAAAGCACACCAAACACAUAGAAAGGGAACACAUACAUACAGAGUACAAAGUGGAAAAACCAAAAUGAAUGGUUACUCAGUGACAGCAGUGAGACAUUAAUCUGUAAAGCAUGUUUACAACUAACAUUGUAAGUGACACGUGAUAUGACAGAUGAUUAGAUCAAUCAAACAUAUUAUAAUAUGUGAAUACAUGAAUCAUACAGUCAACAAAAGAUAUCUCAAAACAUCAAACAGGAUAAUGGAUCAAAGAAACAUGUUUAGCCCAAAACAGUUCGAUAUAUAAAUAUGUUUCUGAACUCUUUUCAAUGAAAAUAAAA